GUUCUCUGGGCCUCAGAUUCUUCAUCUAGAACAAGAGGGAGUGAACAAUGACAGUGACUUAUUUUCCAUCCAGCUCCAGACUUGGAUCAGGGUCUCCUAGUGUCUGCUCAGCGCUGUGCUGGGGUAUGAGAGAUCCCCCUGACUUCAAGGAGAUUGAGGAUGAGUUGGGGAGACAUGUCAUAAUCAGUGGUGACAUGGGCAGCCUAUGUAACCUGCAGAUGAAGAAAACAGCCCACCAGAGCUCAGAGGGGAGAAAGUUGCUGUGGACUGGAGAGGACUUGAGCUGAGCCUUUAGAAGCAGAGUAGUGUAAAUAUUUGCAUUCACUUAAAGUGAAAAGACAAUCUGCAUACCUGGAGGAGAUAUUUGCAAGAUUUACAUCUGGUAAAGGUUUAUUGCCAAGAACGUACAAAGAGGCCUUACAAAUCAACGAGAAAGAAGAAGAAACACAAAGAAAUGGACAAAAGAAAAGGCAUUAACAAAAGAAGAAAUGCACACGGCCAACAAACCUAUGGAGGCGUUCAACCACAUGUGAAAUGUAAAUCAAGACCCAAUAAGAUAAGCUUUUAUGUCCACUCAAAUGGCAAAAUUUUAAGAGCUGGACAAUCCAAGUAUUGGAGAACAUAUGGAUCCAUGGGACCUUUUACAUAUUGCUUGUGAGUGUGUACAUUAGGACACUCACUUAAAAAAACAGUGUGGCAUUAUCUUGUAAAAAUCAAACACUCACACAGGCUGCUGUGCAGGUCCUGGGUCUGUUUGGCCUCAGAUCCACUCCUUGCUAUACCUCUAUGUGCUCAGUUUUCCAGCAGGGUGACCAUAGCAGAUGACCCGUCUUGGCAACCAUGUCAUCUUGCUUCCAGUUGGGUUCAGCCAAUGAAAGAAAGAAUGGAAGGUGAAAGGAAGGGAAAAGCCAAGGUAUUUCUCAACCAGCACCCUCCCUGACUCCUCUCAGGUAGCAUCUGCUGUGGUGGCCACAGCUCUCCUGUGGGUCCAGUUCCCACAGGACAGCCAGCCAUGAUUCUUCUUCUACCAGGUGACCCUGGCCCUGGGCUCUGGUGAUACUAACCCUUUGUUUUUCCAGUCCUAGGGAGGGGUAGUAACAGCUUCCUGCUGUUGUUAAUUUGCGGGUGCCUCACUGCCUCCCGUGAGGCUUCUCAGCUAUUGAUUACCGUACUACUCAGCAAUGAGAAGGAAAAAACUACUGAUACAUGCAACCACCUUGUUGGACCACAGAGAAUUUUACCAGCUCAAAAAGUCAGCCUCACAUUGUUACAUACUGUAUGAUUCCACUUAUAUAACCUUCUUGAAAUGACCAAAUUAUUGAGGUGAAGAACAGAUUCGUGGUUGCCAAGGGUUAAAAACAGAGGUGGGAUUGGAGAAGGAAAUCAGUGAACCCAGAAAGAGGUAGCCAGAGGGAUCUUUGUGGUGAUGGGACAGUUGUGUAUCUUGAUUGUGGUGGUGGUUUUACAAAUCUACAUGUAAUGAAGUUUUAUGUGUGCAUAGAACUAUGUACAUACUCAAACAGAUGCAUGUAACCCUGGUGAAUCUGAAUAAGGUCUGUGGAUUGUGCCUAUAUCAGUGAUCUAGCUUUGAUACUGCAUUAUAGCUAUCUAAGAUGCUAAUAUCGGGAGAAAAUGGGGGAAAGGUACAUGUAUUUUUCUGUACUAUUUUUGCAACUUGUGACUCUGUUACUAUUUCAAAAUUAAAAGUGUCUAAAAAUCCA